CCUACGGGAGGCAGCAGUAGGGAAUAUUGGGCAAUGGGCGCAAGCCUGACCCAGCAACGCCGCGUGAAGGAAGAAGGUUUUCGGGUUGUAAACUUCUUUUCUGAGGGACGAAGAAUGUGACGGUACCUCAGGAAUAAGCCACGGCUAACUACGGGGCAGCAGCAGGGGUAAUACGUGGGUGGCAAACGUUAUCCGGAUUUUUUGGGAGUAAAGGCCUUGUUGGGGGGAAAGUAAGUCAUCGGGUAAAACUCAGGGCUCAACCCUGGGCCUGCAUUUGAUACUGUUAUACUUGAGUGCUGGAGAGGCAAGCGGAAUUCCGUGUGUAGCGGUGAAAUGCGUAGAUAUACGGAGGAACACCAGUGGCGAAGGCGGAUUGCUGGGCAGUAACUGACGCUGAGGGGCGAAAGCGUGGGGAGCAAACAGGAUUAGAUACCCUUGUAGUC
rnacentral:rRNA from 1 species